rnacentral:rRNA from 1 species
AGUGGCGAACGGGUGAGUAAUAUAUCGGAACGUACCCUGGAGUGGGGGAUAACGUAGCGAAAGUUACGCUAAUACCGCAUACGAUCUAAGGAUGAAAGCAGGGGACCGCAAGGCCUUGUGCUCCUGGAGCGGCCGAUAUCUGAUUAGCUAGUUGGUGGGGUAAAGGCCCACCAAAGCAUCGAUCAGUAGCUGGUCUGAGAGGACGACCAGCCACACUGGAACUGAGACACGGUCCAGACUCCUACGGGAGGCAGCAGUGGGGAAUUUUGGACAAUGGGCGCAAGCCUGAUCCAGCAAUGCCGCGUGAGUGAAGAAGGCCUUCGGGUUGUAAAGCUCUUUUGUCAGGGAAGAAACGGUGGAGGCUAAUAUCCUCUGCUAAUGACGGUACCUGAAGAAUAAGCACCGGCUAACUACGUGCCAGCAGCCGCGGUAAUACGUAGGGUGCAAGCGUUAAUCGGAAUUACUGGGCGUAAAGCGUGCGCAGGCGGUUUUGUAAGACUGUCGUGAAAUCCCCGGGCUCAACCUGGGAAUGGCGAUGGUGACCGCAAGGCUAGAGUUUGGCAGAGGGGGGUAGAAUUCCACGUGUAGCAGUGAAAUGCGUAGAUAUGUGGAGGAACACCGAUGGCGAAGGCAGCCCCCUGGGUCAAAACUGACGCUCAUGCACGAAAGCGUGGGGAGCAAACAGGAUUAGAUACCCUGGUAGUCCACGCCCUAAACGAUGUCUACUAGUUGUCGGGUCUUAAUUGACUUGGUAACGCAGCUAACGCGUGAAGUAGACCGCCUGGGGAGUACGGUCGCAAGAUUAAAACUCAAAGGAAUUGACGGGGACCCGCACAAGCGGUGGAUGAUGUGGAUUAAUUCGAUGCAACGUGAAAAACCUUACCUACCCUUGACAUGGAUGGAAUCCCUGAGAGAUUGGGGAGUGCUCGAAAGAGAACCAUUACACAGGUGCUGCAUGGCUGUCGUCAGCUCGUGUCGUGAGAUGUUGGGUUAAGUCCCGCAACGAGCGCAACCCUUGUCAUUAGUUGCUACGAAAGGGCACUCUAAUGAGACUGCCGGUGACAAACCGGAGGAAGGUGGGGAUGACGUCAAGUCCUCAUGGCCCUUAUGGGUAGGGCUUCACACGUCAUACAAUGGUACAUACAGAGGGCCGCCAACCCGCGAGGGGGAGCUAAUCCCAGAAAGUGUAUCGUAGUCCGGAUUGUAGUCUGCAACUCGACUGCAUGAAGUUGGAAUCGCUAGUAAUCGCGGAUCAGCAUGUCGCGGUGAAUACGUUCCCGGGUCUUGUACACACCGCCCGUCA